rnacentral:rRNA from 1 species
AGAGUUUGAUCCUGGCUCAGGACGAACGCUGGCGGCGUGCCUAACACAUGCAAGUCGAACGGAGAAUUUCAAGAAGCUUGCUUUGAGAAAUUUUUAGUGGCGGACGGGUGAGUAACGCGUGGGUAACCUACCCAUAAACCCGGGACAACCCUUGGAAACGAGGGCUAAUACCGGAUAAUCUUUUGGCUUGGCAUCAAGCCUUAAGAAAAGGUGGCCUCUGAAUAUGCUACCGAUUAUGGAUGGACCCGCGUCUGAUUAGCUAGUUGGUGGGGUAAAGGCCUACCAAGGCGACGAUCAGUAGCCGGCCUGAGAGGGUGAACGGCCACACUGGGACUGAGACACGGCCCAGACUCCUACGGGAGGCAGCAGUGGGGAAUCUUCCGCAAUGGACGAAAGUCUGACGGAACAACGCCGCGUGUAUGAUGAAGGUCUUCGGAUUGUAAAGUACUGUCUUUGGGGAAGAAUGGCUGAUUUGAGAAUAUUGAGUCAGUAUGACGGUACCCAAGGAGGAAGCCCCGGCUAACUACGUGCCAGCAGCCGCGGUAA